UACGUAGGGCGCAAGCGUUAUCCGGAAUUAUUGGGCGUAAAGAGCUCGUAGGCGGUGUGUCACGUCGGCCGUGAAAACCUGCAGCUUAACUGUGGGCGUGCGGUCGAUACGGGCAUCACUGGAGUUCGGCAGGGGAGACUGGAAUUCCUGGUGUAGCGGUGAAAUGCGCAGAUAUCAGGAGGAACACCGGUGGCGAAGGCGGCCCGCUGGGCAGUGGCUGACGCUGAUGCGCGACAGCGUGGGGAGCAAACAGG
rnacentral:rRNA from 1 species